GAUGAAGAACGUAGCGAAAUGCGAUAAGUAAUGUGAAUUGCAGAAUUCAGUGAAUCAUCGAAUCUUUAAACGCACCUUGCGCUCCUUGGUAUUCCGAGGAGCAUGCCUGUUUGAGUGUCAUUAAUUUCUCAACCUCACCAGCUUUUGCUGAGUGCAGGCUUGGAUGUGGGGGUUGCAGGUCCGCUAACGUGGUUUGCUCCUCUGAAAUGUAUUAGUGGGUUGGGCCCCUAAUCUAUUGGUGUGAUAAUUAUCUACGCCGUGGAUUUGGGUGGCUGACUUAGACCCGCUUCUAACCGUCCUUCACCGGACAACUCUUGACAAUUUUGACCUCAAAUCAGGUAAGACUACCCGCUGAACUUAAGCAUAUCAAUAAGCGGAGGA
rnacentral:misc_RNA from 1 species